UUAUUAUUUUUCAUAAAUUCAACAACUGAAUAUUUCUACUCCAUCCAACAACUUCCCCGUUACCAAACUCACACGAUAACUCCAGACGGUUAAAAAACCUUCGGCCGGAAGUUACGCAAAUAUAUUGUAGAACUGUUGAUAAAGUAUGCCAUGUGCCUGUGAUGCCCGCAUAUCCAAAGUAGGCAAAAGGCUUGAGCAUUAAACCGACUUUACGAGGACACACCGAAGCCAUUCACACAAGCAACAAUCAUGUACAUACACGAAUAAAUGUAUGAUUGUGUGUGCUACCUGUCACCUGCUACGACGUCCUAACGGUAAAAUCAAGCCAGGGUAUACACCUUCCAACGUAACAGGUGCCCAAUGCUCUCAGUUUAUUCUCCAUCCUUCUCACUUCAAUGUUUUGGAUCCACCUCACUGACUUCCACCUCAGGAUAAAACUCAGCGCUGCCUUCGAUGCAUUCCACUUCCCUCAUCAUUAAUUCCAGUACAGCGCAUGCGGGUUUUUCGACGAUGUGGGUCAGUGGCCCAUUAAAAUCGCGUGACCGCGAUGAUCGUGAGAUCGACGGACUCUUGGCUGGAUAUGAUUCAUGACAACGAAUUCAAUGAAGAUGUUUAAUAGGUUUUUUUUUCUUUUGGGGGAGACUAUGGGCCUGAUGAGGCGGGAAGAGAGAUCGAGUUUGCUGAAGUCGAAGACGGAGUUUGAUUGUGUGUAUUGAGAGUGCUUGAUGUGUGUGGAUAAAAAUGAAUCAUCUGUCUAUAGCUGUUAUAGUUUUUAUAGUUUUCUCCAAAGAGUGACGAAAUGUUUAGAAUGGUUUUAAUAAAUAGAACCAGAGAAGAAACAGAAAGGAAUUUGUUGGGAUUGCAAAGUUAUCAUUGCGCAUGACUGUUGCGUGACGUCAUGUCACGUGUAACUCCUGUAACGGUUCAGUAGUAAAGGACCCUCGAAACCGUCGAUACGUUAUUAGAGUGUACUCCAAUUUGUAUUACAUAGUUUAUUAAAUAUAUUCAUUGUUUUAUCAUUUAUAGUGAGGAAUCGUAAGGCUGUCCUCCAUCGUUUCCAACCAAAAUCAGACUUUUUUUUCAAGUCCAGACUGAGCAGAAGCUUCAAUCGUCAAUUUUUACCCGCAACGUUGAACAGAAUACUCAGAUAAUUACAAUUCAAUCUCGAAAACUUGUUUCACGAUAAUGCAGUGAAUAUAAAAUAAGAGGAAGAAGGUAUCUCGACGAGUACAAUAGCUGAAGAGUGUUCCGUAGGUGCAACCGAGUGUUUCAUAGAGGACAACUUACGCAAUUAGUUGUGCUCCCAAGGCAAAGAAAUGCCUGAAGAAUGGAGAGAAGAUGCUAAGCGUUUUCACGGCCUCUGGCGAAGAGAAAAUUACAGCGAUUAUUAAUUCAACCCAUCGUGAUUUUACGAUUCAUUACUCAGAGAAUAUGAUUGAUCGUAGAAAUAUCCAUAUGAGAAAACAUCAUCAACCAAAUGCAUUCCAUUUACCUCAUUUUCAAGUCGUUUUCCGUGAACUAUUCUCUGAACAAUAUGACUGAUUAACAGCGAUUAAAAUGGACAUUGCAAUUUCACACUUGUUUGAAAAUCAUUUAUUCUUUUUUAUUGCUGGCUUGAUGUUGUUGGACAUGCUAUGGAAAAAUUAAUGGCUUGUUAGCAACUUGAACCAUUAACACCGAUUUUUUCAAGCAAAUAAUUAGAACGUCCUAUAACUAAUAAUUCACUGGAUUUUGUAAUGAGUGAUAAUCUCACUGGAAGAAAAGAAUAUGCCAAUAAACUUCGCUAAAUACUGAUUUCAGUCGUCGAAGAAACGGAAUUGCAAAAUUGAGUUGAGUUCACAGUUCUAGAGGAGAAAUUAUUGUUUGGGAUAUUUUGUAUUGGAAAUGGGACUUAAUUAAAUAUACAAUGCUGUAGUUUAUUAUUAUAAUUUGUUUCGCCACAAAACAAUUAUAAUUUGAUUGUAGAUAUUCCUCUCCCGACUCCAAAAAAAUUGUAAUUUUGCUGGUAAAUAAUGUAGAGUGGUCGGAAAUGUAAUACCAAAUCUUUUGCAAAUAUCACGGUCUUUUUUUAGUUAAAACAAGAUUUAAGUGGGUAAAAAAAUUCAAAAAAAUUUGAAAUUUUGUCAGAUGGAGGUUAAGAGUUGGGGGUAACUCUGCACCCAGAUUCGGCUCGAUCGGUCGAGUAAUUUUUCAGAUAGCGUGAUUUGUUUAUAAUUCGUUUUUAGGAAAUAUCUCCAAAAGUAAUGGAGGUAUUAAGUUUUUUAUUUUUUCAUCUUUUUCAUCACGAUUGGAUCUAUUGGAAUCAAUCAAAAAUUGGAAGCAAACCCCGAAUGAAAUCAUAGUUAUUGCUCCUUUGCUGUUAAAAAAUAGUAGAUUAUGGCGUAGGGACGAUAGGUGGAGCAUUGUGAGAAGUAUGAAGUUUGCAGCACGACUCACAAUCCGACCCCAUCGUCCUCAUGCCAUAAUCUCUUUUUCGUUAUGAAGGCCUAUGGCGGGUGGGUGAAGGGGCGCGAGCACCCCCCCCCCCCCACUGAAAGACCGAAAUAGACCUAACUAAAAAACAUUCUUUGGAAAAAUACAUAACCAUAAACAAUAUAAACUAAGGAAAACGAAUCUUAAUCGAAAUACUAAAAAAUAAAUAAAGCUUUAAUAUUAUAAAAUGCUUUUUGAUGAAAAAACUUUUGAGGUUGAGGUUCGGAUCUGUCCCUGAAAGGUUCUGGUGUCCCAGAGAAGUUACAUGAGCUGAUGCAACCGAAUCAGUGAAUCGUUGCUCUUCACUGCACAUUUCACGAGAAAGCACGUCUUCUGGAGUUUCAGGAAUAAUGCGAUUCAUUGUCCUUUUUAAUAAUUUUCACUCAUUUGAUACUGUUGUAUUGCUAUCGCUCAACUGUCAUGUCACUCCGAAGUUACGAGAGUCUCCGUUAGAGGCGUAGUAAAUCGCGUUUAGCGGAGGGUAGGUAAGCACCUAUACUCCUAGGAGCUGCAAUGUAUCUCGGAGGAGUCCGGUCUUAUAAUAUUUAACCUAUCGUCCUCAAACCAGUCGGGUAGGAAGCACUUUCCACGCCUCAGUAACGAAAAAAAAAAAUUUUUCAUCGUAAAAAAAACGCCGACAAAGUAUGUCUCGAUAUUUUCUCCUAGAAUGACUCAUUGUAUAGAAAUAAUUUCAACGGUUUGUGCGUUACCAUUCUCAGUUGACAGACAUACGAAUGAAAAAUGACUUCACAUCUCCUCUUCUCUGCGAAUCCUCAUAAUUCUUUCCUCUGCCAAAAAUCAAACAUAUGCUCUGAACUGGGUUAACGGGACAUGUUUUCUACACCGCGGAAGAUCGGCAUCCAAUCACCUAUGAACGUUUUUUACCUCCACUUUAUGUUCUGUCACACUCCCAGUGAAAGAAAAAAAAACACCCUUUCAUCGUGUGUAAUACCGGUAUGCGAAAAAGCGCACCUGUUCCGCGAGUAGAAAGUGUCCAAAUUCCUUAUUGGGGAGACGUCCGAUGUGUAAUCUCAGUGACAGUCUCUCAUCAUUUCUUUUUUUUUUAAUGCGUAAAAUGUUAUUUGACACUUUUUAUUCUCUAUUGCACGAUCCCUGGUCAAUUUCACACGGGAGUUUGUUGCGGCAAAAAAUGAUACCGAUUUUACCCGAUUAUUUCCUGGAAUUAUCGAGAUCACUUUCGAAUUUAAUGAAAACGUUUGAAUGUUCAUGAGAAAAUAGUCGUCGAGAAAUACAAUUCUCGUGAGAUUCUCGGUUCUUUCGUUCAGAAUUACGGUGCGAUGAUUUCAGAAAUCAUUUUCCUAUUAUUUUUUUUCCUUUUAUUUGUUUAAAGUGCGGAACUCCAGAGUUGGCGUCUUUACACUAUCGUUAUUUUACAUUUUAUGUACAUUAUUUUAGAUUGAAAUAUUGAGGUUUUCAAAUUUUUGAUUAUAAUUUUUUGAAUAUUUACAUAUGUCUUCGAUGAAAUAUUUUUUACCGAAAAUAAAUUCAUUGAUCUUUUCUUAUAGGGAUUUUAUGGCAUAUGAAAAAGGUCGUUCUGAGGCGACGGAAAUAGUGACAGAAAGACAACAGUUCCAUAAGAAAGGAGAUGAAGAAAUGAAAUUUACAAUUACAAAAUUUAUUAUCGUGUUUAUGUAUUACGCAAAAAGAGAGAGAAAGUGUUAUGAGAUUUUUCGAGAUCGCUUUUGGGUAAAUUGUUUCCACGUGUUGAUGAAAGUAAUUGAACAGAAAAAUGCUUUUCGAACGAAAUGCGUUGAAACACUAAUGAUCACUUUCGAAUUUAAUAAACACGUUUGUAUAAUUAUGAAAAAAUAAUGGCCCAGGAAUGCAAUUAUCAUGAGAUUUUCAAUUCUCUCAUUCAAAAUUCCAUUGCAAUGAUUGCAUAAAACAUUUCUCUAUUAUUUCGUGUGAUAAAUUUGAAGCUAAUGCGUUCAGCAAAAUUUCCUAAUAUUGUCCACAGAGAAAAAAAUCUAUUAAUCUUUUCUUAUAGAGAAUUUUAUGGCCUUUGAAAAAGGUCGUUUUGGUGCGAUUGAAAUAAUGACAUAAAGACAACAAUCCCAUAACGAAUGAAAUUAAAUUUACAAUUACAAAAUUUAUUAUCGCGUUAAUGUAUUAUGCAAAAACAGAGAAAGUGUUAUGAGGUUUUUGAAAUGGCUUUUGGCGAAAUCGUUUCCGCUCAUCGAGGAAAGUGAUUGAUGAAAAAAAGAAACAGGACUUCGAGGUGAAAACCGAAAAACUAAAUUAUUUGUUGUCUACUUCAUUAAAAUAUUAAUUUUGCUAAGGAUUUGAGGUCUUGGCAGGAGAGUUAAUUAUUUUACGUCUCUGAAACGCAAAUAUAGUUUCUUGAAGUUCCUACACGAAGAGAAAAGUCUGUGAAAAAUUAUAGGGUAAUGUGUUUUACUCACACAUAAAAAUUGCCCUUAAUACCUUAAAUGUGUAACAUAUUUUGUAAUUGAUAAUAUGUGGCUCCGUAAAAUUUAUGAAAUAACACUAUAAAAUCUGCAAAUCUGUUUAGAAGUGUAUAGGCAUAUGACACGAAACCUUCACACAUUCGUUGAAAUCGUGUAUAUUCUGCACACGCGAAAUUAGACAGAUUCGCCUUGAAGUAAUAAAGGGAAUGUUGCACUUGUGAGAUAUAAAGUUUAUUGUACCAAGUUCGUAUUGUGGAC